AUUGAACGCUGGCGGCAUGCCUUACACAUGCAAGUCGAACGGUAACGCGGGGCAACCUGGCGACGAGUGGCGAACGGGUGAGUAAUGCAUCGGAACGUGCCCAGUAGUGGGGGAUAGCCCGGCGAAAGCCGGAUUAAUACCGCAUACGACCUACGGGUGAAAGGGGGGGAUCGCAAGACCUCUCGCUAUUGGAGCGGCCGAUGUCAGAUUAGGUAGUUGGUGGGGUAAAGGCCUACCAAGCCGACGAUCUGUAGCUGGUCUGAGAGGACGACCAGCCCCACUGGGACUGCGACACGGCCAAGACUCCUACGGGAGGCAGCAGUGGGGAAUUUUGGACAAUGGGCGCAAGCCUGAUCCAGCCAUGCCGCGUGCGGGAAGAAGGCCUUCGGGUUGUAAACCGCUUUUGUCGGGAAGAAAAGGCGUCUCCUAAUACGGGGUGUUCUUGACGGUACCGGCGGAAUAAGCACCGGCUAACUACGUGCCAGCAGCCGCCGUAACAC
rnacentral:rRNA from 1 species